ensembl:lncRNA
GCCUGGCGUCUUGCUGGACAAAGUGUCAAAAAUGUCUCUUUUAGACUUUUAAUGACAGAAGUCGGAAUACACAUUUUUGACGAGGAGGCAAAAUAAAUCCAGGGACGCGGCACUACUGUGCCAUUAAUGUCACGGUACCGGUGCUGCAACGGUACUAUGGAGGGGAGGACACCCGCCCGGACUUCAGGCUGGGCACAGACGCCAUGCAGCACCUGAUGGUGGUCCUGAAGACUGACAGGCAGCACGGGUGGGGGCCGACCCUGGAGACACUCGUGUUCCUGUUCUGGCUGGCCACCGGUUCAGCCUACCGAGUUGUCUCCAGGGUCUUCUGUAUGCCUCUACCUACGGUGCACAGGGUGGUCCACAGGAUGGUGGAUGAGGUCGUAGCUGUGCUCCCUCAGUUCGUCAACUUCCCCCGCACACAGGAGGAGCUCCAGGUGGUCAACUUCCCCUGCACACAGGAGGAGCUCCAGGUGGUCAACUUCCCCUGCACACAGGAGGAGCUCCAGGUGGUCAACUUCCCCUGCACACAGGAGGAGCUCCAGGUGGUCAACUUCCCCUGCACACAGGAGGAGCUCCAGGUGGUCGGGGAUGGCUUUGCCCGGCUGGCUCAUCACCGGGCAUUUGAGAAGGCAGCAGGGGCAGUGGAUGGUUGCCACAUCCGUAUUAAAUGUCCUGGCGGCCCUGAUGGUCACGACUACAACAACAGGAAACUCUUCCCCUCUGUGGUGCUCCAGGCAGUCUGUGACCAUCAUUGUGGGUUACCCAGGUGUGCAUGAUGCACGCAUCCUAAAGAACAGCCCCAUCUACACUAGGGGGACUUACCCUCCACCUGGGUAUCCCUUAUCACACCAUAUAAGAGGCCAGUGAGAGGCAUGGCAGAGCAACGGUUUAAUUAUCAUCAUUCCAGAGGUCGCACAAUCAUUGAGCGUUCCUUUGGAAUGAUGAAAACCCGCUUCAGGUGCAUCUUUUUAGAAGCACUUCCAGUACAUCCAGUGUUUGUCCCUAAGGUAAUAAAUCAUUGCAAUAUUUCUGUAAUAAAUGUCUUAAUCAAAUCAUAAUAUUCUACUCAAAAACAACAGUUAAACGUUUCAACUGCUAAAGUCACACUACAUCUGUUUUUUUCAUAUCUCAACAAAGUCUUGUCUUCUUUUGCUCAACAAAGUCUUGUCUUCUUUUGCUCUUCCUUGUGCACAGGUGGUGACGGCGUGUGUAAUUUUACACAACAUUUGUGUUGGUGUUGGGGAUGAGCUGGAAGAGGCUGUGGAGGACAAUGACAACCAGCUACCUCUGGAGCGCGAUGGUGGGGAGAGCCGGAGUGGAGCUGCUUGGCGAGCCGCGCUGACCAACGAGGUGUCUGCAUUUCAUGAGGCACCUCUGGAUCUCGAAUAUUUUUCCCAGGCUCUGGUUUGUGACUCAGAUGCUGAGGGAAACACACAGACUCGGGGAGGCAGUUGAAGUGUUUAUUCACACAACCGGAAUCAAACAGAGGGAUUGUUCAGGGUUGAGUGGUUCCAGGAGGCGAGCGGCGAGGAGAGUUGAAUGGCGAAGUGAGCAGGCAGCAGGCGAGCAGGCAGCAAUUGAAGCUGUGUGGCAAGGUGAGCAGGCAGCAGGUGAACAGGCAGCAAUGUCAGAGCGGAAUCUGGACAGAGAAGAUGCUGUUUAACAAGGGCACACUGAAAUUGUCUAGAACGCAUAGGGACUAGGAUGUCUGAGGGUUUGCAGAACCAAGUUACCACAGGUAAUGUUGUAACGGAGUGGCGCUGAAGAGGUGAACAGCCCAGGUUGAUAUCUGCUGGUU